GAGCCACCGCACCCAGCCUAAUUCUAUUACUAACAUGAAUUUAGUAAUUUUCAUUACUAAAGGCUAACAUUGAUUAAGAACAGUCUUUCCGAUCUAGCAAAUCUGAAUGUGAACAUGUUAUUUUGGAAAAUACGUUCAACCUUCAUAACCCACAGAUUUCCUCAUCUGUGAAAUGUGGAAUAUUAUCUAUGUCAUAAUAUUUUGGAGAGGAUUAUAUGAAACAAUUCUUCUAAAUGCUGGGCACAGUGUCUGGCACAUGGUAACUGUUCAAUGAACAGCAGUUCUUUUUUUCUAAAAGUUGUUUUUUUUUUUUAACUAUAGGUAAAAGGCAACUUGGUGACUUUUAAAAAUCGUUAUUCAUUCAUGCUAAAAUGUAAGGAGUUGAGUGGAGUGUACUGUGUCUGGGAGGAAUGUACUCCUGUACUGUGUUUCUGUGGCACCACGUGACAUUAGAAUUAAUGAAGUUACAAUGAAUCACUACAGGGGUCCGGCGGACGUUAGCUAUCUGGAAAUACCUACCUAUGGCUGUUCUCCAUUUGAGUUUAAAAAGCCAUGCUAUCCAUCAUGUGUUACCUCACAUUGGUGUUCCCCGCUUCUUUCACUCAGAAUGCUAACUCUUCAGAGACACAGGAAAGUGCCAGUUUCAACAAAUGCAAUGAUUUAAAGCCAUAAAUGUAACAGGAAGAUCUAAUUCUGGAAGACAUACAAAUGCCGAAAGGAAAAUUAAAGCCACUUACCCCGAGGAAGAGAUGAAGGUGAAGAACUUUCUGGGCCUGAGUCUGUG
rnacentral:lncRNA from 10 species